rnacentral:rRNA from 1 species
GACGAACGCUGGCGGCGUGCCUAAUACAUGCAAGUUGAGCGCUGAAGGUUGGUACUUGUACCAACUGGAUGAGCAGCGCACGGGUGAGUAACGCGUGGGGAAUCUGCCUUUGAGCGGGGGACAACAUUUGGAAACGAAUGCUAAUACCGCAUAAAAACUUUAAACACAAGUUUUAAGUUUGAAAGAUGCAAUUGCAUCACUCAAAGAUGAUCCCUCGUUGUAUUAGCUAGUUGGUGAGGUAAAGGCUCACCAAGGCGAUGAUACAUAGCCGACCUGAGAGGGUGAUCGGCCACAUUGGGACUGAGACACGGCCCAAACUCCUACGGGAGGCAGCAGUAGGGAAUCUUCGGCAAUGGGCGAAAGUCUGACCGAACAACGCCGCGUGAGUGAAGAAGGUUUUCGGAUCGUAAAACUCUGUUGGUAGGGAAGAACGUUGGUGAGAGUGGAAAGCUCAUCAAGUGACGGUAACUACCCAGAAAGGGACGGCUAACUACGUG